UAGCAAAAGAUCACCUCUUGUGCUCUUUUUAUUUGAGUGGGAAAUGGGAUGGGAGUGUGAAAGAUGUGGAGAUAAAUGUGUACAAACAAACCGAGGGAUGGCCUUGUUUACAGAGCUGUACAUUCUAGGACAAACACGAUAGGAAGCAGGAGCUCGACGGAGACAAACGGGGUGGAUGGGGGGGUACAGGGCCUAAGACUCUGGUCUUUCCUCCAUUCUUCCUCUGGAUCUCCAGGUUUCCGGUUUGGCCGGCCACAGGUUGGGGUGCGGAGACCUCCGGGCCUGCAGGGGGCGCCUGGUGCAGCGGAGCGCCCUAAUCUCGGGCAGGGCCGGGGCUGCGCAGUCAUGAUCACUGCCAAGGCCUCGGCGGACUCCGCCGUCCCCUCGGUGCACGGUACUGCGGUGGCCACCGGUGUCUCGGAGCGCGAGGAGCCAGAGUGGCCCUGGAAAGAUGCCCCGAUCCGGGCGCUGGUGCAGCGCAUCCACCAGUUGCAGGCUGAGCGCGCGCAGGCCUUCCGCCGGCUGGAGGACCUCAGGACCCCCACCUGCCGCAGAGGCCACCUCCAGUACCUGCGAAGCGGCCCGCCCUACGACUUCCCCCGCUACCGGAGCACGGUGCACGAGGUGACCCAGACCUUCGCCGCCGCCUCGCGGGAGGUGCUGGCGGUGGAGGCCGAGCUGUCUGGGCCCAGAGGGCAGCCGCUGCUCGCGAGCCACGUGCGAAGCCUGCAACAGCUGGAGCAGACGCGCCUGGCAACGGUUCUGGCCCUACUCCUCCCCUGGGUUCCAAGACCCCGCCUACUCUACCCCUACAGCCAAUCCCGACCGAGACGCACUUCCCAGGCCGAGCCCACGUGGCCCUGCUGCAGCUGAUGGGGACGCCAGAGCUGACUGGGCAGGAAGAUACCCUGGAGACGCACCAGCUGAAGAUGAAGGUGAUUAAAACCAUGGAAGCAAUCAGCGAGGUUCUUCAGGACCUUAGGUUUGAUGCAGAAUCUGCCGAGUGAUGGUGGCUCCCCAGUGACACACCAAGGGAUAUGGGAAAUGUCCCCAAGCCUACCCCUUGACUGUCAGCUGGCUGGGGUCACGCUCCACCAGGUCGCCGACUGCCCUUGAGUUUGCUGCACCUCCCACAAUAAAGAACCCUUCGUCUGUA